AUUGAACGCUGGCGGCAUGCUUUACACAUGCAAGUCGGACGAGGCGCGAACGGGUGAGUAAUGCCUCGGAACGUACCGACUAAAGGGGGAUAACUGUACGCAACGGCAGAUAAUACCGCCUAUUAUUCGAGCUGCCGUUGUCUGAUUAGCUGGUGGGCGGUGUAAUGGCCCACCAGGGCGACGAUCAGUAGCGGGUCUGAGAGGAUGAUCCGCCACACUGGGACGGAGACACGGCCCAGACGCCUACGGGAGGCAGAAGUGGGGAAUUUUGGGCAAGGGGCGCAAGCCUGAUCCAGCCAUGCCGCGUGUCUGAGGAAGGCCUUCGGGUUGUAAAGGACUUUUGUCAGGGAAGCGGUACCUGAAGAAUAAGCACCGGCUAACUACGUGCCAGCAGCCGCGGUAAUUC
rnacentral:rRNA from 1 species